rnacentral:lncRNA from 1 species
GCCAUAUAAAUCAAAAAGUUGUUUAACAAAAUCUACCGGAAUAAAUCUGGAUAGUGUGAUCCUUGAUGUAGAUCCGAUCCUCCGUUUGUAUAUAAGUCAAUCUACAAAACAAAUAACAUACACAAGUAAGCUUAUAAAAGCUUAGUAAGCUCAUAGGCAUAAAAUAUAAAUCUUACCGAACAUGGUACACAAACAUAUAUCUUUUAAUUUAACUAUUUCAUCCUGUAAAUCACAAAUUCAUUAAUAAGCUCAUUUGAAUAAUUUUCAUAUUGCUAUUCAUAAAUUUAACUCAUUUGGGCCCAUUUCUCAUUCACUUCCAUUGUCAAAUUAGGGAACAAUAAUGGAAUUGAGUGCUUCACAAUCACAUUGCCAUGGUAAAACCAUUAACUUGCACAUAGUCACAUAUCACACACCGAAGCCUUAGCCCUGCCAUGGUCUUACACGGAUUACAUAUAAUACCGAUGCCAUAUCCCAGAUAUGGUCUUAUACGGAAUCACAUUAUCACAUCACACCGACGCCAUAGCCCAGCUAUGGUCUUAUAUGGGAACACGUAUCACGUUGCACCGAUGCCAUAACCCAGCCAUGGUUUUAUACAGGUGCACAUAUCACAUCUUUUCCGUCAAUUCAUCAUGGUCAUAAAAUGAAAGCACUUAAAACCAUUGUUCUAACUAAUUUAUACUUUUAGUUAAACAUUAUUUAGUAAUUAAUACAAUUUGAUAGUAUUCAUCUACAAUAAGAUACCUUAGCAAUCAUAAAAUUUUCAUAAUAAAACAUUGAACUUUGCCAUAUGAACUUACCUGGGCUAAUUUGCAAAAGUCGUAGAAAUUUAGGGACUAUUCUUGCAAUUUCUCCUUUCCACGAUUCACUUUGUUUUCUUGAUCUAUAAUUAUAAAAUCAUUCCUUCAUUAGCAUCUAUAUCAAUUCUAUUCUACUUCACAAUUUAUGCCCUUUAAUUUUCGAAAUUACACUAUUACUCUAAACUUUUUAGUUUUUACAAUUUAGUCCCUGCUCAAUUUAUUCAUCAUUGAGCUAAUUCCUCUCAAAUUACACUUUAUCAAGACAUUAUAAACUACUUCAAAGCCUUUAACACUCAAAAUUUCAUCACAAAACCCUAAUUCCAACAACUUUCACAAUUAAAUCCUAAAAAUUGAUUUAUAUGAAAAUUUCUUCAUAAAAUCAUCAUAUAAUAAAAUUAAAACCUCAAUUCCAUGAUAAAUCAUCAUAAAAUUUUAGCACUUAUUCAUGGAAACUUUCAAAAUUAUCCAUGAAAUAAAAAAAGAAUGAAUUAAACAAGUGGACGUAGUUGUAAAAGUCUCAAAAACACAAAAAUUACAAGAAAUAAUCAAGAAUUAAGCUUACAUGUAAUAAAAAUAUGAGAGAGCA